rnacentral:rRNA from 1 species
AAACCCUGAUGCAGCCAUGCCGCGUGUGUGAAGAAGGCCUUCGGGUUGUAAAGCACUUUCAGUCAGGAGGAAAGUGGUGUAGCUAAUAUCUGCACCAAUUGACGUUACUGACAGAAGAAGCACCGGCUAACUCCGUGCCAGCAGCCGCGGUAAUACGGAGGGUGCGAGCGUUACUCGGAAUCACUGGGCGUAAAGAGCACGUAGGCGGCCUUGCAAGUCAGAUGUGAAAUCCAACGGCUUAACCGUUGAACUGCAUUUGAAACUGCAAGGCUAGAGUAUGGGAGAGGUAGGUGGAAUUCUCGGUGUAGGGGUAAAAUCCGUAGAGAUCGAGAAGAAUACUCAUUGCGAAGGCGACCUGCUGGAACAUUACUGACGCUGAGGUGCGAAAGCGUGGGGAGCAAACA